GAGGGAAUGUGGUGUUCUCACUGGCCCCAGCCAACCUGCCCCCGACGCUGGCCAAAUCUCAGGUGAGCAGCGUGCGUAAGAAUCUGAAGCUGCACCUGUUGAGUGUGCUGAAGCACCCGGCUUCCUUGGAGUUCCAGGCCCAGAUCACCACCCUGCUGGUGGACCUGGGCACACCUCAGGCCGAGAUCGCCCGCAACAUGCCGAGCAGCAAGGACACCCGCAAGCGGCCCCGCGAUGACUCGGACUCCACACUCAAGAAGAUGAAGCUGGAGCCCAACCUGGGGGAGGAUGAUGAGGACAAGGACUUGGAGCCAGGCCCAUCGGGGACCUCGAAGGCCUCGGCACAGAUCUCCGGCCAGUCAGACACGGACAUCACAGCUGAGUUCCUGCAGCCUCUGCUGACGCCUGAUAAUGUGGCUAAUCUGGUCCUCAUCAGCAUGGUGUACCUGCCCGAGGCCAUGCCAGCCUCCUUCCAGGCCAUCUACACCCCUGUGGAGUCAGCAGGCACGGAAGCCCAGAUCAAGCACCUGGCUCGGCUCAUGGCCACACAGAUGACAG
rnacentral:sRNA from 1 species